rnacentral:rRNA from 1 species
CCUACGGGUGGCUGCAGUGGGGAAUAUUGGGCAAUGGGCGCAAGCCUGACCCAGCAACGCCGCGUGAAGGAAGAAGGCCCUCGGGUUGUAAACUUCUUUUAACAGGGACGAAGAAAGUGACGGUCGCUGUUUACUAAGCCACCGCUAACUACGUGCCCGCAGCCGGCGGAAUAAGUAGGUGGCGAGCGUUCGCCGGAUUUACUGGGUGUACAGGGCGGGUAGGCGGGAGGGCAAGUCAGACGUGAAAUUCCAGGGCUCAACCCUGGAACUGCGUUUGAAACUGUUCUUCUUGAGUGAGGGAGAGGCAGGCGGAAUUCCGUGUGUAGCGGUGAAAUGCGUAGAUAUACGGAGGAACACCAGUGGCGAAGGCGGCCUGCUGGACAUUAACUGACGCUGAGGCGCGAAAGCGUGGGGAGCAAACAGGAUUAGAUACCCUAGUAGUC